rnacentral:lncRNA from 10 species
CACAGGUUCUUCCUACUCCCCUCUUCUACUUCUGGUUUAAGGUUUCAUCUUUUUUUUUUUUUCUUUGUUUUCUUCUUAAAGGUUUCAUCUUUAAAUGACAUUAAUUAGGCUUUGUGUUUUUAGCCAUUUUUAGAGUCCGUUGUGCUGUAUCUCCUGAUCUCUCUUUUUCAGUGAUUUGUGGUUAUGUAAGUUAUCUCAGUUCUUUGCUGUCAGCAAUUUUAAAUCAAACAUUGAAGCAUUUUGGGUAGAUGACGUGUUACUUUGAUUAAUGAGGUUCUUGAUCUGGAUAUUUUAAGGCCAGUAACAACACAAUAUGGAAACACCUAAUUCUCCUUAAAACUGCAGUAGUGUUCUCACUGCCAAAGCUGAAACCGAUUUGUGCUGGUUACUUCUUUCUAAGAGUGAAUGUGUGCGUAUGAGCUUUCUUUUGCUGUUUUGGCCAGGGAGUGGGACUGCCAGUCCAGAAAGGCCAGCUCUUCUGGAUUCAGUAGCAAAAGAGUUAAUCAUUAAGCAGAGACAGAAACCUCCCAAGUUUCUAACCUUCUCUUGCGUUAAAUCUCCUUACUCUUAUUAGAAGAAAAGGCAUAUGCACACUUAUGCAUGCGCGUGUGCACGCACGCACACAAACACCAUACACACAAAUACUCUAACAAAACUUAAUGUAAAAUGAUCUCAUGUUUAUGAGAGCUGGAAUUACUUGGGAGGGAUACUUGUGUUCUGCAGGCUUAGUGGGCACGAUGUGAAAGCAAGGCUAUUUGGCCUGUGGAGAUUGAAGAUAAGAGCGUGAUAUGUAAUUGAGUAAGAAUUUGAAAAAUUAUCCGAUAACGUUAGGAGCAGCAAAGCAACUGCUUCUACUUUUUUAUGCUUGAAACUAUUUGGAGUAGGAGUGAGGAGCUAGCAUUGUUUUCAGGGCAUGGGAACCCCCUCCCCACCUCACUAGCCAAAUAUGUUUGCCUAGGCCGAGAGUGUCAGAUCUCUGAGAGAUCUUGACAGAGUAUUUAAAUACAUUCUGCCCUCGGACAGUUCUUCAGUGUUAAUCAUUUCAGGAAAAGGGCCGUCAGCUAACCUUUAAAAUCCUUUCCAGAAUAGUAUACCACAGCCCACCUUCCCAUCUUGUUCCAGUGACCCAAUCUAUAAAUGGUCAGUUCCUUCAUUUGCAGAACUUGAAAUAGUUUAAAGAAGAGACUUGAUGAAUUGAACUCAUGUUUUUGCUGCUGUGGCCACACCCUCUUUACAGACAUUUGCUUCAUUUGGGUUCUCAGCAACUUGGGAAGGAGGAGGCUAUUGAUGAAACUUUCAAGGCGUUGGCUUAUAGCUACUGGAGUGUUCUUUCCUGUCCCCUCCCCUCCUCACUUCCUCCAGUGUUGGGACACUUUGUAUUGAACAAGAAGAUCAUGAGCUAAUUUCAACCUGGCAGCCAUUUAUUUAGCACCUACUGUAUGUUGUCU